rnacentral:rRNA from 1 species
UACGGGGGGGGCAAGCGUUGUUCGGAAUUACGGGGCGUAAAGGGCGCGUAGGCGGCUUUUUAAGUCGGGUGUGAAAACUCUGGGCUCAACCCAGAGCCUGCACUCGAAACUGACGAGCUAGAGUUCUGGAGGGGAAAGCGGAAUUCCUGGUGUAGCGGUGAAAUGCGUAGAUAUCAGGAGGAACACCGGUGGCGAAGGCGGCUUUCUGGACAGAAACUGACGCUGAGGCGCGAAAGCUAGGGGAGCAAACAGG